UACGAAGGUGGCAAGCGUUGUUCGGAUUUACUGGGCGUACAGGGAGCGUAGGCGGUUGGAUAAGCCCUCCGUGAAAUCUCCAGGCUUAACCUGGAAAGUGCAGAGGGGACUGUUCAGCUAGAGGAUGGGAGAGGAGCGCGGAAUUCCCGGUGUAGCGGUGAAAUGCGUAGAUAUCGAUGAGGAAGACCAGUAGGCGAAGGCGGAUCGAUCUUGGACAGUUCCUGACACUGAAGGCACGGAAGGCCAAGGGGAGGCAAACGGGAUUCAGAAA
rnacentral:rRNA from 1 species